rnacentral:rRNA from 1 species
UGCGUAGGCGGUUUUGUAAGACAGGUGUGAAAUCCCGGGCUUAACCUGGGAACUGCGCUUGUGACUGCAAGGCUAGAGUACGGCAGAGGGGGUGGGAAUUCCACGUGUAGCGGUGAAAUGUGUAGAGAUCCGGAGGAACACCAGUGGUGCAGACGGCGCCCUGGGCCACACCUGACGCUGAGGCGCGAAAGCUUGGGGAGCGAACG